rnacentral:tRNA from 1 species
ACUAUUUUGGCAGAAUAAUGUAGGGGUUUUAGAAGUCAUUAAUAUAUAAUUUAAUUAUAUAAAUAGUA